UUUGACAAGACCUUCGGUCUUAUGUCUACAUACCAAUAUAUAAAUGAGGGAUCAAAACCCCGUAGUUCAUGGUAAAAAUUUCAAAAAAAGUUGAUGAAUUGGUUUUAAUUAAAAAGUCUAACAGAAAAGGGCACAAAAAGGCCAAAAGGUUCAAAUGAAGUUGUUAAUUCUUUUUAUAUUUUUGAAACUAAGGUCAAUAUGAUUAAGUUUAUUCAUAAGUUUGAUUAGGAAAAAG
rnacentral:lncRNA from 1 species